rnacentral:rRNA from 1 species
AACGAACGCUGGCGGCAUGCCUAACACAUGCAAGUCGAACGAUUGCCUUCGGGUGAUAGUGGCGCACGGGUGCGUAACGCGUGGGAAUCUGCCCUUAGGUUCGGAAUAACAGCUGGAAACGGCUGCUAAUACCGGAUGAUAUCGCGAGAUCAAAGAUUUAUCGCCUGAGGAUGAGCCCGCGUUGGAUUAGGUAGUUGGUGGGGUAAAGGCCUACCAAGCCGACGAUCCAUAGCUGGUCUGAGAGGAUGAUCAGCCACACUGGGACUGAGACACGGCCCAGACACUUCGGGAAGGGGGAGGUGGGGAAUGUGGAAAAAGGGGGGAAGGCCUGACCAAGCAUGGCCGGGAGAGUGAUGAGGGCCUGGGGGUGAAAAAGCUUUUUUACCCGGGAAGAUAAUGACGGUCCCGGAAAAAUAAGCCCCGGCUAACUCCGUG